rnacentral:rRNA from 1 species
AUACGUAGGUGACAAGCGUUAUCCGGAUUUACUGGGCGUAAAGGGCGUGUAGGCGGUCUUGCAAGUCAGAAGUGAAAUUCCUGAGCUCAACUCGGGCGCUGCUUCUGAAACUGCAGGACUUGAGUGCUGGAGGGGAUAGCGGAAUUCCUAGUGGAGCGGUAAAAUGCGUAGAGAUCGGGAGGAACACCAGUGGCGAAGGCGGGUAACUGGACCGCAACUGACGCUGAGGCGCGAAAGUGUGGGGAGCAAACAGGAUUAGAUACCCUGGUAGUCCACACUGUAAACGAUGAAUGCUAGGUGUAAGAGGUAUCGACCCCUUUUGUGCCGGAGUCAACACAAUAAGCAUUCCGCCUGGGGAGUACGGCCGCAAGGUUGGAACUCAAAUGAAUUGGCGGGG